rnacentral:rRNA from 1 species
GAUGAACGCUGGCGGCGUGCCUAAUACAUGCAAGUCGAGCGAACAGACGAGGAGCUUGCUCCUCUGACGUUAGCGGCGGACGGGUGAGUAACACGUGGAUAACCUACCUAUAAGACUGGGAUAACUUCGGGAAACCGGAGCUAAUACCGGAUAAUAUAUUGAACCGCAUGGUUCAAUAGUGAAAGACGGUUUUGCUGUCACUUAUAGAUGGAUCCGCGCCGCAUUAGCUAGUUGGUAAGGUAACGGCUUACCAAGGCAACGAUGCGUAGCCGACCUGAGAGGGUGAUCGGCCACACUGGAACUGAGACACGGUCCAGACUCCUACGGGAGGCAGCAGUAGGGAAUCUUCCGCAAUGGGCGAAAGCCUGACGGAGCAACGCCGCGUGAGUGAUGAAGGUCUUCGGACCGUAAAACUCUGUUAUUAAGGAAGAACAAAUGUGUAAGUAACUAUGCACGUCUUGACGGUACCUAAUCAGAAAGCCACGGCUAACUACGUG